CUUCUCAUCUUCAAAUUCUUGAGAUAGAAGGAAUGGAUGUUGUGGAGAUAAUAGGUGAGGAAUUUUAUAGCAGUGGUGGAAUGGAAGUAGCAUUUCCUUGCCUGGAAGAGUUGAACAUUAAUGGGUGUCCCAAGUUAGAAAGCAUUCCAUCCAUGAGCCAUCUUUCAUCAAAACUUGUAAGAUUGACAAUCAGAGACUGUGAUGCAUUGAGUCAUAUAUCUGGCGAAUUCCAAGCCUCUGCGAAAUCUCUUAAAUAUUUAACCAUAAGGCGUUGUUCCAACCUGUCAUCCAUUCCAAGCCUUCAAAGCUGCAUAGCUCUGGAGGCAUUGUCUAUUUCUACGUGCUACAAUCUGGUAUCGCCUGUUUUUCUAGAAUCGCGUUCUCUUACAAGUGUAUUCAUUGGUUGGUGUGGAAAAGCAAGUGUUCGAAUUAGUUGGCCACUAUCCUACGCAAAUAUGAAGGAAUUGAAUAUCGAGAUCUGCGGGGAGCUUAUCUUCUCUGAUGAUUUACAUGGACGAGAAGUGUGGCCUUCUCGUUUUCAAUCACUAGUCAUUAGAUGCUGUGAUCAAUUCAAGUCAGUUCCUGAUGGUUUAAAAAGAAGACUGCAUUCUCUUGUUCGAUUAGAUAUCAGCUGGUGUCGAAAUUUAAGUCAUAUUCCGGAAGAUUUCUUUUGCGGCCUCAACCAAUUGAAGGGAUUGCUGGUGGUUUCUCGCAGGAAUUGGAGGCAUUUCCUGGAAUGAAUUCAAUCCAACACCUAGGUGGCUCCCUUGAAGAGCUUAAGAUAAUUGGGUGGAAGAAACUGAAGAGUCUACCACAUCAACUUCAACACCUCACCUCCCUUACGAAAUUAAAGAUCUAUGGUUUCAACGGAGAGGGAUUUGAGGAAGCAUUGCCAGAUUGGCUGGCCAACCUUUCUUCUCUUCAAGAGCUUACAAUUUGGGAAUGUCAGAAUCUCAAGUAUCUGCCAAGUUCAACAGCCAUGCAAAGCCUCUCCAAACUAACACGUCUGAUAAUUAGGAGCUGUUCGCUUUUGAAGCGAAAUUGCACGGAGGGCAGUGGGUCUGAGUGGCCCAAGAUUUCUCAUAUCCCACAUAUCGAUUUACCAUAGUGAGGAAUAAGCGCAACUCACCCAAUUAAAUAAAUAGUAAGGGAGCACAAUCUUACUACCAAUUUCCUCAGCAGAAACGGCAGAUGAAGAUCUAGUGCAAAAGAAACAAGGGCUCUGUGCUGCGCAGCCAGCCCCUCGCUUUGAUUUCUGAUAGUAUAUUUUAAGGAGAAAAACAGUUUCUUGUUCAGUCAACCAAACAAGAGCGGUUCAUUUCACGAGCAACCGGUCAAGAAACCUUCAAUUGUGCAUCCCUCUGACAUUUUAAGGAAACGUCUCAGCCUGUAGAAGGGUUUAAUCAUCUGGGUUUUUUUGAUUGCACAGAAUAGUUUGGAAGCUUCUGGUGGACCAAAUGGUGGAAGAUGGUCUUUUAUGGUGAUCCUUUAUGAGAUGGUUACUAGCUCAACCAGGUGAAAGCAUUUUGAUGCCGGCAAGGACAAGGGGAAGAGCCUUAUGUAGGGGACUCGGACUGGAUAAGGCAAGAGCAGCUUUUUGUUAGUAGCUGAAAGACGGAGACCAGAACUAGAUGCCAAAGAAGCCCAAAAAUCAGGGCUACGUUUUCAGAAAUGCGAGUUGGAAAAGGAGGAGAUACGUGCAAUUCUUUUGAGUUUUGCUGAACCAGGAGUUCUUAUUGUGGGAUUAUGUGGACAAAGAAACAAUGCUUCCAAGUAACUCUAGCAACUCAGAGAUUCAGUGUGAUGAAGGAUUUGCUGCUGUUAUUUGAAACAACUUCUGAUUUGAAUGCUCACUAAGCUGGUUUUUUUUUACAUAAGAAGCAGAAGAAUAGAGGUCCAUGCACGGACGCACAUUGCUUCAUUUGACCAGCUCAGUUUCAAGAGAAAAAUACGUUCGUGUUCGGUCAACCAAACAAGAGUGGUUCAUUUCACUAGCAAUCGCAAAAGAAUAAUAGAAUUUUUCUCAGAGGUGCCCAUGUUUCUCCUGAUUCUAGGUCCUGGAAGGAAUAGCAAUCGUCAUCCAUCAAGAAAACUGUCAGCACACCUUCCUUCAACUUGUAAACAUCUCAGCCCCACAUUCCAUAAGGGUUUAAUCAUCUUCAGGUAUUUGAGAUGAAAAUCUGCAAACUGACCAUUACCUAAACGUCCCUCGAUGGAUGACCAAGGAAUCGAUGGAUUCCAAAUCCACCACUUCUGAUCUUAGAAAGAAGGGAGGAUUUUCAGAUGCUUUGAGAAACUUGGCUCACCUGUUUCACUCCCUUUAGAUGCCAGAAGUUCUGUAAUCAGCGCUUAAGUGAUCAAAACAAGAUGAGAAAUCUGGAAUUGGAUUCAGUGAGGCUGGCUUGAUCUUCAACAGACAUGGUAGGUGAAGAUGCAGUGCAGUCUCUGUAGCAAAGAUAAGGUCUCUGGAUUCUUUCGAUCUAUUUCAAUAGAAAACUGUCUAUCCUGCUCGCAGUAGAGAUUGUAAAAGGAGAAAAUGCAAUGUAAAAUGUCUUCUGGUUGUACUUCAAAUUCUGAUACUUCAUCGGCCCAAACAUCUCAUUCCGUCGACAUUUUAUUCAUUUUAUUCAAAUUUUGCUCGGACAUGGAAAAGCUCAAUAUAUUCAUUGUACUAAAGUGAAGGUGCUGACAAGGAUGCAUCUAUAUGUGUUACAUUGAUUUUCAAUGUACUUUUACAUGUAACUUGAACUAUAAUAUUAUGAAAUCUUGAACUUUUUAGUAAUAAUUAUAUUGUUUGUGAUGAAAUACCUAUCAAAAUAAUAGGAUUUGAAAUUGUAAUUAA